UUUACUUUGAAGUAGUAGAGUGAUAUGAAAUGAUAUGUUGAAAGGUUGUUCUUCUUAAUAGUUGCUGUACAUUAUGUCAGUUGAUAACUAAGUUAUGCUGAAUUCUUCACACCCUUUGCUGAAAUGGCUGUCAAGAUGCCCGCGCCCCAUGCUGUUAGGUAGAAGAAGAAGAAGAGGAAGCAACGAUCCUCUGGCCUCGAAAAGCAACUGUUGGCACUGAUGUUGCAGCAUCUACAUUAGAUUGCAUACAGUCUAAAAGCCACCACUCCAAUGGGUAAACAUACAAUCUAUUCAAAUAACAACGCCAGUUGGCUGGUCGAGAAGCUGAUUCUCUGAAAGUAACCUUUUCCAGAAUCUUGACUAUGCAUGCCUAUGGUGGAGCAAGGAUAUCAGCAGUGGAGAUUCUUCGCUAAGUUCUAGCGAACUCCAUUUGCAUAAGCCUAGGUAAACUAUGAAGAGCCAUUAG
rnacentral:misc_RNA from 1 species